GAUCUUUUUCAGGAGAUCUGUCCUUGGUGAGGCUUUCCCCUGCAAACCUGGAAUCUUCUGAUACGGACCAGGGAAAAACAAACUCUGCUCGUCUCAGUUGUUUGCUAGAAUUUGGUCCCGCCAAGGAUGGCCAUAUAUUGUGUGAUGGACUCCACUGUACAUGGAGAGCAUGUAUGGGAGCACAUCCAGCAUCAUGGGAGCAGAUACAUGGCCGCAACUCUUCAAAGGUAUGCAAUAUCUAGUGACUGUGCCCAACCAAAGAUGGAGUAACCAUGAUGUUUCAAGCUUCUCCUUGCCUGCUGUAAAACCCUAUCUCUGCAAGGAAGGGCAGAAUUCAAGCAUCAUAUCCAAGUUCUGCUGAUCCUUGCUAGGAGUGAAGCUAGAAUGACUGUGCCAAAUACUGGCCCUCUGUGAAAAGGGAAGUGGGGUGAACCACUGUCAGACAGAAAUCCCAAAGGAUGAGAUAGAACAUCCAAAAAUACAGCCCAGCAAUAAUAA
rnacentral:lncRNA from 1 species